GAUGAACGCUGGCGGCGUGCCUAAUACAUGCAAGUCGAGCGAAUGGAUUAAGAGCUUGCUCUUAUGAAGUUAGCGGCGGACGGGUGAGUAACACGUGGGUAACUUGCCCAUAAGACUGAGAUAACUCCGGGAAACCGGGGCUAAUACCGGAUAACAUUUUGAACCGCAUGGUUCGAAAUUGAAAGGCGGCUUCGGCUGUCACUUAUGGAUGGACCCGCGUCGCAUUAGCUAGUUGGUGAGGUAACGGCUCACCAAGGCAACGAUGCGUAGCCGACCUGAGAGGGUGAUCGGCCACACUGGGACUGAGACACGGCCCAGACUCCUACGGGAGGCAGCAGUAGGGAAUCUUCCGCAAUGGACGAAAGUCUGACGGAGCAACGCCGCGUGAGUGAUGAAGGCUUUCGGGUCGUAAAACUCUGUUGUUAGGGAAGAACAAGUGCUAGUUGAAUAAGCUGGCACCUUGACGGUACCUAACCAGAAAGCCACGGCUAACUACGUGCCAGCCGCCGCGGUAA
rnacentral:rRNA from 1 species